UACGGAGGGGGCUAGCGUUGUUCGGAAUUACUGGGCGUAAAGCGCACGUAGGCGGCUUUGUAAGUUAGAGGUGAAAGCCCAGGGCUUAACCCCUGGAAUUGCCUUUAAGACUGCAUCGCUAGAAUCGUGGAGAGGUGAGUGGAAUUCCGAGUGUAGAGGUGAAAUUCGUAGAUAUUCGGAAGAACACCAGUGGCGAAGGCGACUCACUGGACACGUAUUGACGCUGAGGUGCGAAAGCGUGGGGAGCAAACAGGG
rnacentral:rRNA from 1 species